rnacentral:misc_RNA from 1 species
GAUGAAGAACGCAGCGAAAUGCGAUAAGUAAUGUGAAUUGCAGAAUUCAGUGAAUCAUCGAAUCUUUGAACGCACCUUGCGCUCCUUGGUAUUCCGAGGAGCAUGCCUGUUUGAGUGUCAUUAAAUUCUCAACCAUUAUCAACUUUUGCUGAUAAUGGCUUGGAUGUGGGGGUCUAUUUUGCUGGCUUCUCAGAUAGUCAGCUCCCCUUAAAUGCAUUAGCCGGUGCCCCGCGUGGACUGUCUAUUGGUGUGAUAAUUAUCUACGCUAUAGACAUCUGCAAUCAUAUGGGUUUGCGCUGCUUCUAACAGUCUGUUGAUUCAGACAAUACAUGACAAUUUGACCUCAAAUCAGGUAGGACUACCCGCUGAACUUAAGCAUAUCAAUAAGCGGAAGA